rnacentral:rRNA from 1 species
GACGAACGCUGGCGGCGUGCUUAACACAUGCAAGUCGAACGGAAAGGCCCUGCUUGCAGGGUGCUCGAGUGGCGAACGGGUGAGUAACACGUGGGUGAUCUGCCCCUUACUUUGGGAUAAGCCUGGGAAACUGGGUCUAAUACUGGAUAGGACCAUGCUGUAGGUGGUGUGGUGGAAAGAUUAGUUUCGGUAAGGGAUGAGCUCGCGGCCUAUCAGCUUGUUGGUGGGGUAAUGGCCUACCAAGGCGUCGACGGGUAGCCGGCCUGAGAGGGUGGACGGCCACAUUGGGACUGAGAGACGGCCCAGACUCCUACGGGAGGCAGCAGUGGGGAAUAUUGCACAAUGGGCGCAAGCCUGAUGCAGCGACGCCGCGUGGGGGAUGACGGCCUUCGGGUUGUAAACUCCUUUCAGCCAUGACGAAGCCCUUGUGGUGACGGUAGUGGUAGAAGAAGCACCGGCUAACUACGUG